UGAAAUCCGCCCUAAUGAAGUUGACUGGCGCUCCAUUCGGGUUCCUCUGAAAGUGUCUCCCAAGGAUACACAUCACCCUCUCGAUGUCCUCGUAAUCCCUGUGCUCCCCUAUAAGAGCAACAUAUCUACAUUGCUCUCCUGGUCACUCAAUCCCCAGGAAGCUGUUGAUGGUGUCAAGGUUGUAUCUGAUAAUCUACCCCCUCACAUAGCUC
rnacentral:lncRNA from 1 species